UACGUAGGGUGCAAGCGUUAAUCGGAAUUACUGGGCGUAAAGCGUGCGCAGGCGGUUUUGUAAGUCUGACGUGAAAUCCCCGGGCUCAACCUGGGAAUUGCGUUGGAGACUGCAAGGCUGGAGUCUGGCAGAGGGGGGUAGAAUUCCACGUGAUAGCAGUGAAAUGCGUAGAGAUGUGGAGGAACACCGAUGGCGAAGGGCAGCCCCCUGGGUUAACACUGACGC
rnacentral:rRNA from 1 species